AUUGAACGCUGGCGGCAUGCCUAACACAUGCAAGUCGAACGAGUGGCGGACGGGUGAGUAAUGUCUGGGAAACUGCCUGAUGGAGGGGGAUAACUACUGUAAACGGUAGCUAAUACCGCAUACCAUCAGAUGUGCCCACAUGGGAGUAGCUAGUUGGUGGGGUAACGGCUCACCAAGGCGACGAUACCUAGCUGGUCUGAGAGGAUGACCAGCCACACUGGAACUGAGACACGGCCCAGACUCCUACGGGAGGCAGCAGUGGGGAAUAUUGCACAAUGGGCUCAAGCCUGAUGCAGCCAUGCCGCGUGUAUGAAGAAGGCCUUCGGGUUGUAAAGUACUUUCAGCGGGGAGGCGUUACCCGCAGAAGAAGCACCGGCUAACUCCGUGCCAGCAGCCGCGGUAAUUC
rnacentral:rRNA from 1 species